GGAGCGUUCUACCUUAGAUAGAAGCAUUAGCGAAAGCGGAUGUGGACGAAGUAGAAGUGAGAAUGUCGGCUUGAGUAGCGAAAACAUUGGUGAGAAUCCAAUGCCCCGAAAACCUAAGGUUUCCUCCGGAAGGCUCGUCCGCGGAGGGUGAGUCAGGACCUAAGGUGAGGCCGAAAGGCGUAACCGAUGGACAACGGGUUAAUAUUCCCGUACCAUCUAUUAUUGAUAACGAGGGACGGAGAAGGCUAAACCAUCCGGAUGUUGGUUACCGGUUUAAGCGUUCAAGGUGUUGAGAGACGGAGAAAACGUCUUGAGCUAAAGCGUGAAUACGAAGUACUAAGGUACUGAAGUGGUUGAUGUCAUACUUCCAAGAAAAGCUCGAAAUAUCGUAAAUAAUAGAUGCCUGUACCCGAAACCGACACAGGUAGGUAGGUAGAGUAUACCAAGGGGCGCGAGAUAACUCUCUCUAAGGAACUCGGCAAAAUUACCUCGUAACUUCGGAAGAAGAGGUACCCUUGCAAAAGGGUUGCAAUAAAUAGGCCCUGGCGACUGUUUACCAAAAACACAGGUCUCCGCUAAUUCGUAAGAUUAAGUAUGGGGGCUGACGCCUGCCCAGUGCCGGAAGGUUAAGGAAGUUGGUUAGUCUUUGACGAAGCUGGCGACCGAAGCCCCGGUGAACGGCGGCCGUAACAAUAACGGUCCUAAGGUAGCGAAAUUCCUUGUCGGGUAAGUUCCGACCCGCACGAAAGGCGUAACGAUCAGGGUGCUGUCUCGGAGAGAGGCUCGGCGAAAUAGACAUGUCUGUGAAGAUGCGGACUACCUGCACCUGGACAGAAAGACCCUAUGAAGCUUUACUGUAUCUUGGAAUUGGGUUUGGGCUUUGCUUGCGCAGGAUAGGUGGGAGGCUUUGAAGAUAUUCUUGCGGGGAUGUUGGAGCCAAUGGUGAGAUACCACUCUAGUAAGGCUAAAAUUCUAACUUCGAACCGUUAUCCGGUCGAAGAACAGUUUCAGGUGGGCAGUUUGACUGGGGCGGUCGCCUCCUAAAAGGUAACGGAGGCGUGCAAAGGUUCCCUCAGGCUGGUCGGACAUCAGUCGUAGAGUGUAAAGGCAUAAGGGAGCUUGACUGCGAGACCUACAAGUCGAGCAGAGACGAAAGUCGGCCUUAGUGAUCCGACGGUUCCAAGUGGAAGGGCCGUCGCUCAACGGAUAAAAGUUACUCUAGGGAUAACAGGCUGAUCUCCCCCAAGAGUUCACAUCGACGGGGAGGUUUGGCACCUCGAUGUCGGCUCAUCGCAUCCUGGGGCGGUAGUACGUCCCAAGGGUUGGGCUGUUCGCCCAUGAAAGCGGUACGCGAGCUGGGUUCAGAACGUCGUGAGACAGUUCGGUCCAUAUCCGGUGCAGGCGUUAGAGUAUUGAGAGGAGUUCCCCUUAGUACGAGAGGACCGGGGGAAAUACACCGCUGGUGUACCAGUUAUCGUGCCAACGGUAAACGCUGGGUAGCCAAGUGUAGAGUGGAUAACUGCUGAAAGCAUCUAAGUAGGAAGCCCACCUCAAGAUGAGUACUCUCACCACUAUAAGUGGGUAAGAUCACGGUAAGAACAACCGUUAUAUAGGCACCAAGUGUAAGUACAGUAAUGUAUUCAGCUGAGGUGUACUAACAGAUCGAGGGCU
rnacentral:rRNA from 1 species